UACAUAGGGGGCAAGCGUUAUCCGGAUUUACUGGGUGUAAAGGGAGCGUAGACGGCCAUUCAAGCCAGAUGUGAAAGCCCGGGGCUCAACCCCGGGACUGCAUUUGGAACUGUAUGGCUGGAGUGUCGGAGAGGCAGGCGGAAUUCCUAGUGUAGCGGUGAAAUGCGUAGAUAUUAGGAGGAACACCAGUGGCGAAGGCGGCCUGCUGGACGAUGACUGACGUUGAGGCUCGAAAGCGUGGGGAGCAAACAGG
rnacentral:rRNA from 1 species